rnacentral:rRNA from 1 species
UACAGAGGGUGCGAGCGUUGUUCGGAAUUAUUGGGCGUAAAGCGCGCGCAGGCGGCUCUUUAAGUCUGACGGUGAAAUGCCGGGGCUCAACCCCGUGCCCGCCGCGGAUACUGGAGAGCUGGAGACACGUAGAGGCAAGCGGAAUUCCGGGUGUAGCGGUGGAAUGCGUAGAGAUCCGGAAGAACACCGGAGGCGAAGGCGGCUUGCUGGGCGUAGUCUGACGCUGAGGCGCGAAAGCGUGGGGAGCGAACAGG